rnacentral:rRNA from 1 species
GGGCCCGCACAAGCGGUGGAGUAUGUGGUUUAAUUCGAUGCAACGCGAAGAACCUUACCAGGGUUUGACAUCCUGCGAAUCUCUUGGAAACGAGAGAGUGCCUUCGGGAGCGCAGUGACAGGUGGUGCAUGGCUGUCGUCAGCUCGUGUCGUGAGAUGUUGGGUUAAGUCCCGCAACGAGCGCAACCCACAUCCCUAGUUGCCAGCAGUUCGGCUGGGCACUCUAUGGAAACUGCCCGUGAUAAGCGGGAGGAAGGUGUGGAUGACGUCAAGUCCUCAUGGCCCUUACAUCCUGGGCUACACACGUACUACAAUGCUACGGACAAAGGGCUGCAAGUUCGCGAGGACAAGCAAAUCCCAUAAACCGUGGCUCAGUUCAGAUCGUAGGCUGCAACUCGCCUACGUGAAGGCGGAAUCGCUAGUAAUCG